AACGUAGGACACAAGCGUUAUCCGGAGUUACUGGGCGUAAAGGGCGUGUAGGCGGAUCGGUAAGUCUACUCUGAAAGCUCCUGGCUAAACUGGGAGAGGCGAGUGGAGACUGUCGGUCUAGAGUGAGGAAGAGGAAAGUGGAAUUCCGAGUGUAGAGGUGAAAUUCGUAGAUAUUCGGAGGAACACCAGUGGCGAAGGCGGCUCACUGGUCCAUUACUGACGCUGAGGUGCGAAAGCGUGGGGAGCAAACAGG
rnacentral:rRNA from 1 species